CUCGACCAUUUUUGGCCAAAAUCUAGCCUCCAUGCCCUAGGUCGAUUUUGCGAUCUCGCCGGAGUUCCACCGCUGUUGACCUCCGCCGUCGUCGUUUCCGUCGCCUACAAGGGAGUACCAAACCGAGCGCCAGGACCUCGGUCCGAAGAUCACAGCCACCGCCCGAGCUCCAGCCGUCCUCUGUCGUCAACCCCGUCCGCCACCGACGCCGCUGAGGACUUCUUCGAGACCGCAACAGAGCUCCGCAUCCCGUGCGCUACCGCUGGAGUCUGGAGACCACCAAAUCAGGCGCCAUCAUCGACUCCGAGCCACCGCGCGUCUUCUUCCCCAAUCCGGCGCCGCCUAGCCGUCUGUUCUCCGAUUUUUCGGAGUGUGAAGCGGAUCAAAAUUAAUCGUUAGAGUACUUCAACACCGUUCAAGG